GAUGAAGAACGUAGUGAAAUGCGAUAAGUAAUGUGAAUUGCAGAAUUCAGUGAAUCAUCGAAUCUUUGAACGCACAUUGCGCCCUCUGGUAUUCCGGGGGGCAUGCCUGUUCGAGCGUCAUUAUAACCACUCAAGCUCUCGCUUGGUAUUGGGGUUCGCGGUUUCGCGGCCCCUAAAAUCAGUGGCGGUGCCUGUCGGCUCUACGCGUAGUAAUACUUCUCGCGAUUGAGUUCGAUAGGUCUACUUGCCAGUAACCCCCAAUUUUUACAGGUUGACCUCGGAUCAGGUAGGGAUAACCGCUGAACUUAAGCAUAUCAAUAAGCGGAGGA
rnacentral:misc_RNA from 1 species